UGUCCCUUGGUGUAAUGGUAGCACUGCAGAUUUUGGUUCUGCCUGUCCAGGUUCGAAUCCUGGGGGGACAG
rnacentral:tRNA from 1 species